rnacentral:ncRNA from 1 species
AAAAAUAUGAUGAUAAAGACUAGUAGAGUUAUUUAAUCUAUAAGAGAGGAAGCGGAAGGUGGAAAGCUUCUUAGAUUUUUAAUUUGAAUUCACUUUUGAAUGGCUCUAAUCAAGCCCGUUUUCUGCGUUAAAGAAUUUGAGUGCAGUAUUUUAUACUGAACUAAGGUGGUACCGCGAUAAUGUCGUCCUUGGA